rnacentral:rRNA from 1 species
UACGGGGGGAGCAAGCGUUGUUCGGAUUUACUGGGCGUAAAGGGCGCGUAGGCGGCGUGACAAGUCACUUGUGAAAUCUCCGGGCUUAACUCGGAACGGCCAAGUGAUACUGUCGGACUAGAGUACAGAAGGGGCAACUGGAAUUCUCGGUGUAGCGGUGAAAUGCGUAGAUAUCGAGAGGAACACCGGUGGCGAAGGCGGCUGCCUGGACCGAUACUGACGCUGAGACGCGAAAGCGUGGGGGAGCAAACAGG